GCUGACCACUCCUACGGGAGGCAGCAGUGGGGAAUAUUGCACAAUGGGCGCAAGCCUGAUGCAGCCAUGCCGCGUGUAUGAAGAAGGCCUUCGGGUUGUAAAGUACUUUCAGCAGUGAGGAAGGUGGGUAUGUUAAUAGCAUACUCAUUUGACGUUAGCUGCAGAAGAAGCACCGGCUAACUCCGUGCCAGCAGCCGCGGUAAUACGGAGGGUGCGAGCGUUAAUCGGAAUUACUGGGCGUAAAGCGCAUGCAGGUGGUUUGUUAAGUCAGAUGUGAAAGCCCGGGGCUCAACCUCGGAAUUGCAUUUGAAACUGGCAAACUAGAGUACUGUAGAGGGGGUAGAAUUUCAGGUGUAGCGGUGAAAUGCGUAGAGAUCUGAAGGAAUACCGGUGGCGAAGGCGGCCCCCUGGACAGAUACUGACACUCAGAUGCGAAAGCGUGGGGAGCAAACAGGAUUAGAUACCCUGGUAG
rnacentral:rRNA from 1 species